ACACCAAAGGAAGGGCUAAACCUCCCUUGGCACAAGCCCACAACCACCUCCACCACCACCUUUAAAAGAAGGUGCUAAAGGGCUGUCCUGCAAAGAAAAGGAGAGGAGUGCCCCUAACCUUUCCUUGCUCUCCACUGAAAUCUCCUAUCUGCAACCGUGCAGUUGCUCAAUUCUAGCCUCAGCUGAAGCCCAAUCAUCCAGUGGUAUAUAAGCUACUUCAAACUUUGCAAUUUCCCACUCCUUAAGCCAUCAUCGAUCAUUGAAGAAGCUUCGUGCUACUGGAGAAGGUGUUCGCCCUGCAUAAUUGCGGGCUAUAUACAUUCCACAGGCCUGUAAGCUCUGUGAAUUUGGAGCUCUCAGGUUCUGCAUUGCAUUGAGAUGGGGAGGCAUUCUUGCUGCUACAAGCAAAAGUUGAGAAAGGGGCUCUGGUCCCCUGAGGAGGAUGAGAAACUCAUGAAUCACAUAACAAAGCAUGGCCAUGGCUGCUGGAGUUCUGUUCCCAAACUCGCUGGGCUCCAAAGAUGCGGAAAGAGUUGUAGGCUGAGGUGGAUAAACUAUCUGAGGCCAGACCUCAAGAGAGGGGCAUUCUCCCAAGACGAAGAAGAGCUCAUCAUUGAGCUGCACGCUGUCCUCGGAAACAGGUGGUCUCAAAUUGCAGCACAGCUGCCAGGGAGGACUGAUAAUGAGAUCAAGAAUCUAUGGAACUCGUGCAUCAAGAAGAAGCUGAGGCAGAAAGGCAUUGAUCCCAACACCCACAAGCCCCUUACUGAGGCUGAUCGCAGCGGAGCAGCUCCCACCGUCAGCACCGAGAGAACCUCAGGGUCCAGCGAUGUCAACCCAUCAAGUGCUGGUGCUCUGGGGAACUUGAGCCACCUCCUCAGCGAGACGGCUCAAUCAUCAAUGCUGAUGCCCAUGUAUGACAAGAAUCGCACUGAAACUCCGAACUUGGCACGCCCUAAGGUGCCACCAAAAGAGUUGUUCCUGGAGCAGCUUACUGCUGGACACGAGAGUCCAUCAACCUGCCGCUCAUCAGGCCAAACUCUCUAUUUCCCUUUCCAACAGCCUUUAGGCUACAACAGUGAGAGUGGCAGUGGCGAUGGGGCGAAUAUGAAUUCACUCUGGUUCAACCAGAGUGACUUCAACUGCAGCACAAUUUCUACAGUGAUGCCGCCAGUUUCACCAUCGGCCCUCUCUACAUCAAUGGGGCUGAAUCUUCCGCCUGAUAAUCCUCGACAUGGAGGAACUGGUAUUGGAAGUACCGCAGUAGAUUCAUUCUACUGGGAUGGUACUAAUCCUAGCAGCAGUAGCAGUACUGGGAGCAGAGGAAGCAACAGUAUGGGCUUUGAACCACAGAGCACGAGCUCAAUUCUGGAGAACAGUGUCUUCCCAUGGACAAACAUCGGACAAGAAAAAGAUACAAGGGCUCACCUAGUAGAGGAACUUAAGUGGCCUGACUUGCUCCAUGGAACCUUUGCCGAGACGACCACAGCCAUGCAGAACCAGAGCCAGACGCUCUAUGAUGACGUGAUCAAGGCAGAGAGCCAAUUCAGCAUGGAAGGGAUAUGUGCUUCUUGGUUCCAGAAUCAGCAGACACAGCAACAGCUGCAGGCUGCACCCAACAUGUAUGACAAGGACUUGCAAAGAAUGCAACUGUCUUUUGAGAAUAUCUAGGCACUAUGUUCCACCUCAUGGAACAGAGCUGAUCAGCAGAAGCAGAAACUUGUAUUCAGAGAUUUGUGGGAAGAACUAUGCUGAAUUGCUUACAUAGAUACAUUAAGUUGAUACAGAAAUUAUCCUCCACAGCUGUUCCUCAGUUGAAGACCUGGCAAUAUCAAGGAAAGGACAGCCCUGGCAUUAGAAGUGGCAGCAGAAUGCAUAGAAAAGUACGUUCUAGAGUCUCCUUUUUCUUUCUCUUGAAAAUUGAUGUUUCCUUCUGUACACGACGACUCAACUUUUGCAUAUUUGAGUUUUUGUUCACUCUCUGGUGGAAAUUAAAUAAAUAUAGACAGCCAUGGGCAAAAUUGCAUGUGUCGGUAGCUCUCACCAUGCAAGCAGCCCCAAACUUUUCAACUGCUGCCAUGCACGUCCAUGCAAAUUAAUUAUUGCAUGUUGUAUUUUCAUUUCUUUUGAUAAGUUGCCGACAAACGGCAGUUGUAUAUUUGUAAAGGAAGAAAUUUGGAACAUUGACCUGAGAGCUAUUUUCUUCCCCUUUCA